rnacentral:tRNA from 1 species
GGGCACAAUGGGUCAGUACGUCUGGCUGUUAACCAGAAGGCCGGUGGUUCGAACCCAACCA